GAAGUUUGCCACAGUGGUGACUGAAGGAUCUAUCCCCUAAUUUCUCACAGAAUGGAGAAUAACUUGGUGUUUAAUUUAUAUCUGACCUCCUCCUUGCAAGAAUGGAUAAUGGCUAUAAACAACUGCAAAGAAAGAGCUACAAUAUAUGAAAAGUGGCUUCUGAAGAAAACUGGAAGUACUGGUAUCAUUUCAUUUGUACCACUUUCUGGGACUUGCCUCCAUCUCACUUUGACUUCCACUGAUUUCAAUGUGAGCAGAACUGGGCCUUUUGUUCUAAGCUACU